AGCACAGAUACUUCACCCAAAGUAGGAUGUGUCUUGUCUCUGAACACUGACCAUCACUCGGGUGAAUUACCUAGUGAUGGGACCUGAGGGCUGCUGGGAAACCUAGAGGUUGUUUCAGCCAACAGGUAAGAAAGAACGGGCGACUAACUCUUCUGUUUGACGUUCCCGACACAGUCAGCCACCCAGCAGGCGGAGGCGCCAAGCAGGUGAUGCCCUUCAGGGUGACUUCCUUUUGAAGUGCUCAGAAAGGAUUUUUAAAAAUAAAAGAAGAAAACAUCUUAAAAAAAUUGGCUGCUGGUGGUACUGCCUCUUCCAAGUUGACAUCAUCAAUCAACCAACAGUGUAGGAGAACUGUCAAAUUCCAGCAGCACGAGGGACAAGAGAAAUAGACACCUGAAUAAUGGGAAGCCGCUCUACAGCACAGCUGGAGCCGUGGGGCUGUGAUUUGCGGGGAGAGAAUUUAAUGGGGUUCAGGCUCAAGAAAAAAAAAAAGCCAGUUGAAAAUGGUAUGCACAGAGAAAGUCUCAACAAAGACUAAACAGACAAUUUUGAAUUGUUUUUCCUGUGAGGUAUGUGAGAUCUUAGCUUACUCAACCAGUGAUCAAACCUACAACCCCUGCAUUGGAAGGUGAAGUUUUACCCACUGGACCAUCAGAGAAGUCCCAGACCCAGAUAUUUAAU
ensembl:lncRNA